rnacentral:rRNA from 1 species
CAGCAGCCACGGGAAUACGUAGGUGGCAAGCGUUAUCCGGAAUUAUUGGGCGUAAAGCGCGCGUAGGCGGUUUUUUAAGUCUGAUGUGAAAGCCCACGGCUCAACCGUGGAGGGUCAUUGGAAACUGGAAAACUUGAGUGCAGAAGAGGAAAGUGGAAUUCCAUGUGUAGCGGUGAAAUGCGCAGAGAUAUGGAGGAACACCAGUGGCGAAGGCGACUUUCUGGUCUGUAACUGACGCUGAUGUGCGAAAGUGUGGGGAUCAAACAGGAUUAGAUACCCCAGUAGUCCCUGUCUCUUAUAC